UACGUGGGGUGCAAGCGUUGUUCGGAAUUACUGGGCGUAAAGGGCUCGUAGGCGGCCAACUAAGUCCGACGUGAAAUCCCCAGGCUUAACCUGGGAACUGCGUCGGAUACUGGAUGGCUUGAAUUCGGGAGAGGGAUGCAGAAUUCCAGGUGUAGCGGUGAAAUGCGUAGAUAUCUGGAGGAAUACCGGUGGCGAAGGCGGCAUCCUGGACCGACAUUGACGCUGAGGAGCGAAAGCUAGGGGAGCAAACGGG
rnacentral:rRNA from 1 species